UGUUCGCGUUGCCGGGGUUCAAGACCGAAGAAAUCGAACCGUGGGACGAGCAGGGCGAAUGCCGCCGCCGGCUCAAGGUGACUUUCCCCGACACUAUCGCCACCCACUGCCCCGAACAGAUCUUUCAUAUCAAUGUUGAUGGUCUGGUCUGCCGCCUGGACUACGGCGCAGUUGUCACAGGCAACAUUCCCACAGCUCACUAUGUC
rnacentral:misc_RNA from 1 species